UCCUCUUAAGGAAUUAAUUUAUAAUUAAUUAUUAUUAUCUAGCAUUAAGAGGAUUGCACAACACAGCGACCAUUUAACGGAUUAGUUUUUGUCUCAAUAAAUGCUGCACUUUUCUCUUUGUUACUUAAAGGAUCAGUUAUCUUAAAAAAACAUCAUUAUCUGCAUAAUCUAAAAUUGAAAAAAAAAUGCUCCGAUAAUGAGCUGAUAUUAAUUAGUUCGAUUCACUUUUGCGUUAUUUCAUUUUGGCCCUUGCAGUAUAGUUAAGAGAACUUUAAAUAUGGCGCACUAUAAGUUAUUGCUGGUGAACAUGCUAUUGUUCAGUUUUAUUGGGAAAACAUAUUUGAAACCUAUGAUGGUGUUAGAAGAUGGUAUGCUGGAUAACCAUGAGUUCGGUCAGAAUAACCCGUCUAACAUUGAGGUGCCAAUAGAGUGCUGUCCUCGCUGCAUUUUUAUUCCUGAUAUUGGCUGCAUUGACCCUUCAGAUCCAGGUUAUCAUCCCGAAAUUGACCCUUUUGUUCCAAGGAUCCAUCCCUAAUAUUAUGAAAUAGUUCAAUAAAUAAAAUUGUAUUUUCGUAUGCUGUAUUAUAUUUAUUGUUAUAUUUCAAAGAUGCAAUACAGACUUUAAAAUAA